rnacentral:rRNA from 1 species
AGAGUUUGAUCCUGGCCCAGGACGAACGCUGGCGGCGUGCUUAACACAUGCAAGUCGAGCGGUAAGGCCCUUCGGGGUACACGAGCGGCGAACGGGUGAGUAACACGUGGGCAACCUGCCCUACACUCUGGGAUAAGCCCGGGAAACUGGGUCUAAUACCGGAUACGACGCAUCUCCGCAUGGGGUGUGCGUGGAAAGCCUCCGGCGAUGCAGGAUGAGCCCGCGGCCUAUCAGCUUGUUGGUGGGGUAAUGGCCUACCAAGGCGACGACGGGUAGCCGGCCUGAGAGGGCGACCGGCCACACUGGGACUGAGACACGGCCCAGACUCCUACGGGAGGCAGCAGUGGGGAAUAUUGCACAAUGGGCGAAAGCCUGAUGCAGCGACGCCGCGUGUGUGAAGAAGGCCUUCGGGUUGUAAAGCACUUUUGUCCGGAAAG